CACGUAGGGGGCAAGCGUUGUCCGGAUUUAUUGGGCGUAAAGAGCUCGUAGGCGGUUCGGUAAGUCGGGUGUGAAACCUCCAGGCUCAACCUGGAGACGCCACCCGAUACUGCUGUGACUAGAGUCCGGUAGGGGAGCGUGGAAUUCCUGGUGUAGCGGUGAAAUGCGCAGAUAUCAGGAGGAACACCAGCGGCGAAGGCGGCGCUCUGGGCCGGAACUGACGCUGAGGAGCGAAAGCCAGGGGAGCAAACGGG
rnacentral:rRNA from 1 species